rnacentral:rRNA from 1 species
UACGUAGGGUGCAAGCGUUGUCCGGAAUUAUUGGGCGUAAAGGGCUCGUAGGCGGUCCAUCACGUCGGGGGUGAAAGCUGGGGCUUAAACCCCAGUCCUGCUUCCGAUACGGGUGGACUAGAGGUAGGCAGGGGAGAACGGAAUCCUGGUGUAGCGGUGAAAUGCGCAGAUAUCAGGAGGAACACCGGUGGCGAAGGCGGUUCUCUGGGCCUUACCUGACGCUGAGGAGCGAAAGCGUGGGGAGCAAACAGG